UCCACUUCACAACAAUUCAAGAAGUAAAACCUUUCCGAAGCCCACUUUCACAUACUUGAGGUUUUUUUCAAGUUGUGUC
rnacentral:lncRNA from 1 species